GAUGAAGAACGUAGCGAAAUGCGAUAAGUAAUGUGAAUUGCACAAUCCAGUGAAUCAUCGAAUCUUUGAACGCACAUUGCGCCCGCCAGCAUUCUGGCGGGCAUGCCUGUUCGAGCGUCAUUUCAACCCUCGACCUCCCUUUGGGGAAGUCGGCGUUGGGGACCGGCAGCACACCGCCGGCCCUGAAAUGGAGUGGCGGCCCGUCCGCGGCGACCUCUGCGUAGUAAUCCAACUCGCACCGGAACCCCGACGCGGCCACGCCGUAAAACACCCAACUUCUGAACGUUGACCUCGAAUCAGGUAGGACUACCCGCUGAACUUAAGCAUAUCAAUAAGCGGAGGA
rnacentral:misc_RNA from 1 species